UAGGGAAUCUUCGGCAAUGGGGGCAACCCUGACCGAGCAACGCCGCGUGAGUGAAGAAGGUUUUCGGAUCGUAAAGCUCUGUUGUAAGAGAAGAACGUGUGUGAGAGUGGAAAGUUCACACAGUGACGGUAACUUACCAGAAAGGGACGGCUAACUACGUGCCAGCAGCCGCGGUAAUACGUAGGUCCCGAGAGUUGUCCGGAUUUAUUGGGCGUAAAGCGAGCGCAGGCGGUUUAAUAAGUCUGAAGUUAAAGGCAGUGGCUUAACCAUUGUUCGCUUUGGAAACUGUUAAACUUGAGUGCAGAAGGGGAGAGUGGAAUUCCAUGUGUAGCGGUGAAAUGCGUAGAUAUAUGGAGGAACACCGGUGGCGAAAGCGGCUCUCUGGUCUGUAACUGACGCUGAGGCUCGAAAGCGUGGGGAGCAAACAGG
rnacentral:rRNA from 1 species